rnacentral:rRNA from 1 species
UACGGGGGGAGCAAGCGUUGUUCGGAUUUACUGGGCGUAAGGGGCGCGUAGGCGGCCACCGCAAGUCGGUUGUGAAAUCUCCGGGCUUAACCCGGAAAGGUCAAUCGAUACUGCGGGGCUAGAGUGCAGAAGGGGCAACUGGAAUUCUCGGUGUAGCGGUGAAAUGCGUAGAUAUCGAGAGGAACACCUGCGGCGAAGGCGGGUUGCUGGGCUGACACUGACGCUGAAGCGCGAAAGCUAGGGGAGCGAACGGG